GCCCAAGUAGCUCAGUGGUAGAGCACUUCUUUGGUAAAGAAGAGGUCGGCAGUUCAAUUCUGCUCUUGGGCUCCA
rnacentral:tRNA from 1 species